rnacentral:lncRNA from 1 species
AAAUCAUCAACAAAGAUUCAAUACAAGAGAGGGCAAGCAAUUUCGUAGCAGCCGGGUGUAUCUCGACGCCAAGUACGAGUCAUUACACAAAAUCAAGCAACCCACAAAGCAUUUGACACCGGCUUCCAUGAACAGAAAACAAAGGUUACAAGCCCUAGGAAGGUGAUGGUGGGACCUUGUGCAGCCCAGUUCCGACUUCCUGAGACCCAACUGGUUUAUUUGACAAACGACAUUUCUAGCAUUUGGUUACAGAAGCCAAUUUUCUUUUCCCUUGGGGAAAGAGAGAGGUUACAAGCCCUGGGAAGGUGACGGUGGGCCCUUGUGCAGCCCAGUUCCGACAUCCUGAGACCCGACUGGUUUAUUUGACAAACGACGUUUGUAGCGUUUGAGUACAGAUACCAAAUUUCCUUUUCCCUUGGGGAAAGCCACAUCACCAGCUGCAGUGCCCG